AGGUCAGCGGCGGACGGGUGAGUAACACGUGGGUAACCUGCCUAUAAGACUGGGAUAACUCCGGGAAACCGGGGCUAAUACCGGAUAACAUCAAGAGCUGCAUGGCUUUUGGUUGAAAGGCGGCUUCGGCUGUCACUUCUAGAUGGACCCGCGGCGCAUUAGCUAGUUGGUGAGGUAACGGCUCACCAAGGCCACGAUGCGUAGCCGACCUGAGAGGGUGAUCGGCCACACUGGGACUGAGACACGGCCCAGACUCCUACGGGAGGCAGCAGUAGGGAAUCUUCCGCAAUGGACGAAAGUCUGACGGAGCAACGCCGCGUGAGUGAAGAAGGUUUUCGGAUCGUAAAACUCUGUUGUCAGGGAAGAACAAGUAUCGGAGUAACUGCCGGUACCUUGACGGUACCUGACCAGAAAGCCACGGCUAACUACGUGCCAGCAGCCGCGGUAAUACGUAGGUGGCAAGCGUUGUCCGGAAUUAUUGGGCGUAAAGCGCGCGCAGGCGGCCUUUUAAGUCUGAUGUGAAAGCCCCCGGCUCAACCGGGGAGGGUCAUUGGAAACUGGAAGGCUUGAGUGCAGAAGAGAAGAGCGGAAUUCCACGUGUAGCGGUGAAAUGCGUAGAGAUGUGGAGGAACACCAGUGGCGAAGGCGGCUCUUUGGUCUGUAACUGACGCUGAGGCGCGAAAGCGUGGGGAGCGAACAGGAUUAGAUACCCUGGUAGUCCACGCCGUAAACGAUGAGUGCUAAGUGUUGGGGGGUUUCCGCCCCUCAGUGCUGCAGCUAACGCAUAA
rnacentral:rRNA from 1 species